rnacentral:rRNA from 1 species
AACGAACGCUGGCGGCAUGCCUAACACAUGCAAGUCGAACGAGACCUUCGGGUCUAGUGGCGCACGUGUGCGUAACGCGUGGGAACCUGCCCUUAGGUUCGGAAUAACUCCCCGAAAGGGGUGCUAAUACCGGAUAAUGUCUUCGGACCAAAGAUUUAUCGCGUUUGGUUGGGCCGGUGUUGGAUUAGCUAGUUGGUAGGGUAAACGCCUACCAAGGCGACGAUCCAUAGCUGGUCUUAAAGGAUGAUCAGCCACACUGGGACUGCGACACGUCACAGACUCCUACGGGAGGCAGCAGUGGGGAAUAUUGGACCAUGGGCGAAAGCCUGAGCCAGCAAUGCCGCGUGAGCGAUGCAGGCCUUAGGGUUGUAAAGCUCUUUUACCCGGGAUGAUAAUGACAGUACCGGGAGAAUAAGCUCCGGCUAACUCCGUG